UAACUGGCCAAGCAGAGGGUCAUCGGAUGACUUUUAUGAGGCGUCGCUAGCUAUUAUACAGUACGCCGCCAAACGGCUUGGCGGAUGGGCGGGAUGGCUGCAACGGCUGCUGGCGGUAGCUGCCGGGACACGUGGGCAGUCGCAAAGGAGAAAGUCGUGAUCUGUACCGAGGGUUCCCGAAAUUCCCUGAUGGGCGGGAUGGCUGCAACAACUGCUGGCGGUAGCUGCCGGGACACGUGGGCAGUCGCAAGGAGAAAGUGCGUGAUCUGUACCAAGGAUUCCCGAAAUUCCCUGCCGUCGUGGCGCUGUA